rnacentral:rRNA from 1 species
GCAAGUCGAACGGUAACAGGAAAUAGCUUGCUAUUUUGCUGACGAGUGGCGGACGGGUGAGUAAUGCUUGGGAACUUGCCUUUGCGAGGGGGAUAACAGUUGGAAACGACUGCUAAUACCGCAUAAUGUCUACGGACCAAAGGGGGCUUCGGCUCUCGCCUUUAGAUUGGCCCAAGUGGGAUUAGCUAGUUGGUGAGGUAAUGGCUCACCAAGGCAACGAUCCCUAGCUGGUUUGAGAGGAUGAUC